ensembl:lncRNA
UAAACUUUGUUUUUAUUACACUGUUAAAGGAUCUUCAGAGCAAUUUGGCACUGAUCGGUCUUUUGUGUACCACUGUGCCAAGGCUGCUCUCGCAAAUGUGCCUACUGUGGUAAGAGGGCAGAGAGGACUCGUAGUAAACCUGCAUGAAUGGCUCGUCACGUUUUUCACAGUUUGUCCUACCUUCAUGUCCCAGGAAUUCUGCCAAGGAAACUGCGUCAUUCAGGUGUGGCAUACGUACAAAGCGGACGUGAGCGCCGUGUUAAGAUUAGGAAACACAAUAAGGCAGAGCAUGCCUGAGAGUAGAAUGGGCGUAAAAUCGCCGAAAUGUACCACACAGCCCAGCACACACUGUUCGAAACUGCACACCCCCUUUGAUGCGAGUAUCACUGAGUCAACCUUUGGAAUGCCGGAAAUCUGACGGCACGGACUCUCCUCCGCACGGGGUCUGAUCCGAGGGCUGCUUAAGCUCAGCUUUACGCGCAACGCUGGAAAAGAACCAGAAAAACCGCCAGUAGCUGAUUUUGAAGAAAGUGCUGUAGGGUGAGGCGACACGUUCACUUACUGGGACGGUAACGGAGACAGGUAACGAUCCUGGAUGGGUUUAUCAGAACCACCUUUACUGGUGGCGCUACAGAGGAGGUCAACAGUCCUGGAUGUUAGCAGGAUUACCUCCUCACUAUGGCACUGCUGUCAGGGCCUGUGUGCAGGCUGCUGUGUGCAUUACAGGCAGAAAGCCCGCCUGCUGUGAAAGACUGUUCUGUCAGAGGCUUUUGUUCAAAUCUAAAGAUCGGUUUAACAUGUUACACACUAGCUACUGCUGGCAAUUUAAAAAGGAGCUUCUGUUGAUGUGUCAGGAGCCAAAAACAUGUGACACCACAGCCCCGGUGCCUAGAUUUUGACAUUAAAAUCACGAUAUUACUCUCUAAAACCUAAACUCUCAUCUUUUGUGCCAUUCUGCUCAGAGCUAAUUUUAGUCUUGCCCUCAUUCUCUGUAUGUGGCCUCUUUACGCAUGCGAUGUGGUUAUAUGAAUCGUGCCCGUUCUGCAAUCAACCACACACAGCAAACUAAACCGGACACACACAUGUCAGACUCCACCACUCCAAUGUGCUGUGUGCCCACAUUCAUGUAGAUCUCUCAGCGAUAUUCCACUAAAAUAGCUUUCCGUGGCCUGUCUGCCAGUCUCACCUCCAGAUGCUUUCCUCUUGGGUUCCUUCGUAGUUUCAACACUGAGCCCCGCAGUAUUUAUCACUAUAACUCCCCUUUAUCUCUGAACAAGGACCAUGGAGCUUAACUUUAGGCGGUCUAGUUAAUAAAUUUGACAGGAAGUUCUCAAUUAUUUGCUUAUGCCAGUGUUUGACUGUAGUCUAUCUUGUAAUACAAUCAGUAUCUUGGGGGAAAUUACAUUUCUUCAAGGAAAUUAAACAUUUAUCGUCUGACUACUUUUUGCAUGUUCCACCAAAUAUUUGGUCUGUGGGAGCCCAUUGUUAGGAAAAACACUUCUGAUUACAAAAUCCCAAAUUUUUGGUUGGAUUUUAUUUUUUUGGGAGGGUACAAAUAAUCUUGCAUAAAGCCUCCACAUUUGCAAUAAAAACCUAUUUGUUUAUAAUAAAAAUGCUAAUAUUUCAAAUUAGCCAUCUCUAAAUUGCUUUUUUGUUUGUUUUCAUCCUGAUGAAUCACAAAGUCAGAAUAACAUUUAAAUAUAGUUUAUCUUGAUUUUAAUUUCAAAGAAGGAACAAAAAAGCCCCAUUUUGAUUGCAGUUAUCAGCAGGUACUAUACAGUUAUAGGGGAAUGCCUGCCAUUAUAAUAAGAAGUCUUUAAAGGGCAACUGUUAGUUAAAUUAGUAUUGCACUGGUGUUUUUGGCUUCUAUGACUCUGACUUUCAUCAGCGACGGCGCUAACCUGACGCAAACACUGUGCUUGAACCCACACUAGUGACUGGUGGCCCUUUGCUUUGCUGCAGGUGCGCAGAUGCAUAGAUAGCUGACUUUUCAACGUUCACUUUGCAGUCUGGACUUUCUUUUGGAAAAUAAACUUCCCCA